ACACAGCGCACAUCUGGUUCUAGAUUUCGAUUCAUCCGAAUACUACGGAGAUCUUGCAACAUUCUUUCGUUACGCUUCUUGAUUCCUUCUCUGAACAGAUUGCUACCUGUGCAGUCUGGAUUUUUAGUGGGUAGAGUCUGUCUGGAUUGUAUUCUGUGUUCCUUGCUUCUCAAGUACCCUGCACCUUGUGCCUGAACUGUUUGUGA